rnacentral:rRNA from 1 species
AUACGGAGGGUGCAAGCGUUACUCGGAAUCACUGGGCGUAAAGCGCGCGCAGGCGGGCUGAUAAGUUGGAUGUGAAAGCCUACGGCUCAACCGUAGAACUGCAUCCAAAACUGUCAGUCUAGAGUCUGGGAGGGGAAGAUGGAAUUAGUUGUGUAGGGGUAAAAUCCGUAGAGAUAACUAGGAAUACCAAAAGCGAAGGCGAUCUUCUGGAACAGUACUGACGCUGAGGCGCGAAAGCGUGGGGAGCAAACAGGAUUAGAAACCCCAGUAGUCC